ACCUCAGAGGGCGGGAGAUUGCAACCUACACAUGGUCCGUCCUGUUUCGACGAAUGCAAUCAACCUGGCGUGCACAAACAAAUAAGAUCAAAUAGAACAAGUUGUCCUGCAACUUUAGGCUGUGCACGCCAUA